CUACGUAGGUCCCGAACGUUGCGCGAAAUUACUGGGCGUAAAGGGUCCGUAGGCGGUCUGGUAAGUGGAAGGUGAAAGCCUGGGGCUCAACUCCAGAAUUGCCUUCCAAACUGCCGGACUUGAGGCAGGGAGAGGUCGGCGGAAUUCCCGGUGUAGUGGUGAAAUGCGUAGAUAUCGGGAGGAACACCAGUGGCGAAGGCGGCCGACUGGAACUGUCCUGACGCUGAGGGACGAAAGCCAGGGGAGCGAACCGGAUUAGAAACCCUAGUAGUCC
rnacentral:rRNA from 1 species